ACGUAGGGGGCAAGCGUUGUCCGGAAUUAUUGGGCGUAAAGCGCGCGCAGGCGGUCAUUUAAGUCUGGUGUUUAAUCCCGGGGCUCAACCCCGGAUCGCACUGGAAACUGGGUGACUUGAGUGCAGAAGAGGAGAGUGGAAUUCCACGUGUAGCGGUGAAAUGCGUAGAUAUCAGGAGGAACACCAAUGGCGAAGGCAGCUCGCUGGGACGUGACUGACGCUGAGACGCGAAAGCGUGGGGAGCAAACAGGA
rnacentral:rRNA from 1 species